rnacentral:rRNA from 1 species
GACGAACGCUGGCGGCGUGCUUAACACAUGCAAGUCGAACGGUAAGGCCCUUCGGGGUACACGAGUGGCGAACGGGUGAGUAACACGUGGGUGAUCUGCCCUGCACUUCGGGAUAAGCCUGGGAAACUGGGUCUAAUACCGGAUAGGACUCCGGACUGCAUGGUCUGGGGUGGAAAGCCUUUGCGGUUUGGGAUGGGCCCGCGGCCUAUCAGCUUGUUGGUGGGGUGAGGGCCUACCAAGGCGACGACGGGUAGCCGGCCUGAGAGGGUGACCGGCCACACUGGGACUGAGAUACGGCCCAGACUCCUACGGGAGGCAGCAGUGGGGAAUAUUGCACAAUGGGCGCAAGCCUGAUGCAGCGACGCCGCGUGAGGGAUGACGGCCUUCGGGUUGUAAACCUCUUUCAGCACCGACGAAGCGCAAGUGACGGUAGGUGCAGAAGAAGGACCGGCCAACUACGUGCCAGCCGCCGCAGUAA